rnacentral:miRNA from 1 species
UGACUUGGCCAAAAAGUUCGUUCGGAUUUUUCCCACGCUCUUACAACCUGAACAAACGUUUUGGCCAACCCA